rnacentral:snRNA from 1 species
AUCGCUUCUUGGCCUUUUGGCUAAGAUCAAGUGUAGUAUCUGUUCUUAUCAGUUAAUAUCUGAUACGUCCUCUAUCUGAGGACAAUAUAUUACAUGAAUUUUUGGAGCUCAGAGUUGGAAUAGGAGCUUGCUCUGUCCACACCACGCAUUGACCUGGUAUUGCAGUACCUCUAGGAAUGGUGCACCCCCU